CCUACGGGAGGCAGCAGUGGGGAAUAUUGCACAAUGGGGGAAACUCUGAUGCAGCGACGCCGCGUGAGUGAAGAAGUAAUUCGUUUUGUAAAGCUCUAUCAGCAGGGAAGAAAAUGACGGUACCUGAGUAAGAAGCACCGGCUAACUACGUGCCAGCAGCGGCGGCAAUACGUAGGGGGCAACGGUUAUCCGGAUUUACUGGGUGGAAUGGGAGCGUAGACGGCAGUGCAAGAUUGUAGUGAAAGGCCGAGGCUCAACCCCCGAACUACUCUGAAAACUGUACGGCUGGAGUGCAGGAGAGGUAAGUGGAAUUCCUAGUGUAGCGGUGAAAUGCGUAGAUAUUAGGAGGAACACCAGUGGCGAAGGCGGGUUACUAGACUGUAACUGACGUUGAGGCUCGAAAGCGUGGGGAGCAAACAGGAUUAGAUACCCGAGUAGUC
rnacentral:rRNA from 1 species